GGCAGCUCUGCAGCUCCACGUUUGUUCCUGAACAUGUUCUCCUGUCACGUUUGGUUCCUGCUCUCAGGUCUGAUCGGCUGCACGGGAAACUCCACAGGUCGGGACUACACGGUGUCCGCGGGCCGGACGCUGCUGCUCCCCUGCAGCGGCUCCUCCAAACCCAAACAGAGGUGGUUCCAGCAGAGGGAGGGCGAGAGGCGGGAGGCCGUCCUCACCAAGUACAGAAACGGUACGGUGAAACCAGAAAGGGGCGGCGGCCGGCUGAGCUUCACCAACGACGCCCUGCAGAUCCAGGACCUGCAGCCAGAGGACGCUGGAGAGUACGUCUGCAACGGGCUGCUGCAGGCCAGAGUCACGGUCCUCGCAGCACACGCAGAGACGAGCAGCCAGCCUCCGUCCACCAGCACACCUCCAUCACCUGCAGUGGUGACAGCCGCAGCACCGACACGUGAAGACACAGAGCUGCAGCCG
ensembl:lncRNA